rnacentral:rRNA from 1 species
GCAUAUCAAUAAGCGGAGGAAAAGAAACCAACAGGGAUUGCCUCAGUAACGGCGAGUGAAGCGGCAACAGCUCAAAUUUGAAAUCUGGCUCCUUCGGGGCCCGAGUUGUAAUUUGCAGAGGAUGCGUCGGGUACGGGUGCCUUCCGAGUUCCCUGGAACGGGACGCCAUAGAGGGUGAGAGCCCCGUCUGGUAGGACAUCCAGCCCGUGUGACGCUCCCUCGACGAGUCGAGUAGUUUGGGAAUGCUGCUCUAACGGGAGGUAUACUCCUUCCAAGGCUAAAUACCGGCUGGAGACCGAUAGCGCACAAGUAGAGUGAUCGAAAGAUGAAAAGCACUUUGAAAAGAGAGUCAAACAGCACGUGAAAUUGUUAAAAGGGAAGCGCUCGCUACCAGACUUGGGUUCGGCGGUUCAACCGGGGCCACGCCCCGGGGCAUUCCGCCGGCCCAGGCCAGCAUCAGCUUUCCGUCGGGGGUAAAGGCGUCGGGAAUGUGGCUCCCCUUCGGGGGAGUGUUAUAGCCCGUCGUGUCAUACCCUUCGGGGGGCUGAGGUACGCGCUUCUGCAAGGAUGCUGGCGUAAUGGUAGCUAGUGACCCGUCUUGAAACACGGACCAAGGAGUCAACCUUAUGUGCGAGUGCCCGGGCGUAAAACCCCAGCGCGGAAUGAAAGUGAACGUAGGUGAGAGCUUCGGCGCAUCACCGACCGAUCCUGAUGUCCUCGGACGGAUUUGAGUGAGAGCAUAUAGGGUUGGACCCGAAAGAAGAUGAACUAUGCGUGUGUAGGGUGAAGCCAGAGGAAACUCUGGUGGAGGCUCGCAGCGGUUCUGACGUGCAAAUCGAUCGUCAAACAUGCGCAUGGGGGCGAAAGACUAAUCGAAUCU